rnacentral:tRNA from 1 species
GCCGGAGUGGCGGAAUGGCAGACGCGGAGGACUCAAAAUCCUUUGUUGGCAACAACGUGUGGGUUCAAGUCCCACCUCCGGCACCA